rnacentral:lncRNA from 1 species
AUGGGAUGGGAAAGUUAUGACCUCGCCAACCAACUUUCAGGCGAUGAUUUAAACUGCUCUGGCAGUACAAGACCCUUCCUAUUUCCUGUUGAUGCUGUCAUAGCAACAGCACAUGUUUAUCUUCACCUCGCCCUCUAUUAUAACAAAGUUUAUCCCGGUUUUAUUCAUUAUAAUACAAUGUAUCAAUGCACUUUGAAUCACAUGAACAAAUUGUUAUACACACCACAAGACAUGUAACCCUACAAUAUACACUACAUGACCAAAAGUAUGUGGACACCUGUUGAACAUCUCAUUCCAAUGCCAUGGGCAUUAAUAUGGAGUUGUUCCCCCCUUUGCUGUUAUAACAGUCUCCACUCUUCUGUGAAGGCUUUCCAUUAGAUGUUUGAACAUUGCUGCAGGGACUUGCUUCCAUUCAGCAUCUAGAGCAUUAGUGAGGUCCGGGCACCGAUGUUAGGCGAUUAGGCUUGUCUUGCAGUUGGCGUUCCAAUUCAUUCCAAAGGUGUUCGAUGGGGUUGAGGUCAGGGCUCUUUGCAGGCCAGUCAAGUUCUUCCACACCAAUCUCGACAAACCAUUUCUGUAUGGACCUCGCUUUGUGCACGGGGGCAUUGUCAUGCUGAAACAGGAAAGGGCCUUCCCCAAACUGUUGCCACAAAGUCGUCCAUAAUGUCAUUUUUUGCUGUAACUCUAAGAUUUCCCUUCACUAGAACUAAGGGGCCUAGCCUGAACCUUGACAAAUAGUCCCAGGCCAUUAUUCCUCCUCCACCAAACUUUACAGUUGGGACUAUGAAUUGGGGCAAGUAGUGUUCGCCUGGCAUCCACCAAACCCAGAUUCGUUCGUCGGACUGCCAGAUGGUGAAGUGUGAUUCAUCACUCCAGAGAAUGCUUUUCCACUGCCUCAGAGUCCAAUAGCGUUGCGCUUUAAACCACCAGCAGACGCUUGGCAUUGUGCAUGGUGAUUUUAGGCUUGGAACAUGGAAACCCAUUUCAUGAAGUUCCCGACGAACAGUUAUUGUGCUGACGUCGCUUCCAGAGGCAGUUUGGAACUCGUAGUGAGUGUUGCAACCGAGGACAUGCAAUUUUUACACGCUAUUCUGUAAGCUUGUGUGGCCUACCACUUUGUGGGUGAGCCGUUGUUGCUCCUAGACAUUUCUUCUUCACAAUAACAGUACUUGCAGUUGUCCGGGGCAGCUUUAGCAGGGUAGAACAUUUUACAAACGGACUUGUUGGAAAGGUGGCAUCCUAUGACCGUGCCAUGAUGAAAGUCACUGAACUCUUCAGUAAGGCAAUUCUACUGCCAAUGUUUGUCUAUGGAGAUUGCAUGGCUGUGUGCUCGAUUUCAUAGACCUGUCAGCAACGGAUGUGGCUGAAAUAGCUAAAUCCGUUCAUUUGAAGGGGUGUCCACAUACGUUUGUACAUAUAGUGUAUGUAUGCUUGAGUGACCUGGCAAUAUUUACUUUUCACAAGUUCCCAAGGAUCACAGUGAUCUUCCUCAACUAUCACACAUGAUAUCAAAUUAUAUUUUCUGUGGAAGUAUUUGAUCAGUAAGAACCCUGAAUUGUUACAUAACCCAGCAAAGCACUUCUUUAAAAUGCCCUAAUUCAAAGGCACCUCAGAGUUGCUGCUUUAGUUGCUUAGCAACCAUCCAGCUCCACAGCUAUGCUUGAAGCUAAAACAGCAGCAGCAGCACAGUUUUCCUAAGCAGUAGAUUGUAUGUUGGGUGAAUGUGCAUCACUGUCGUUUUGAACCCAAAGGUUGGAUUACAUGUAUUACCUAAUGUAAUGUAACAUUGUGAAAAGUUUAUUUUACUCGUUCCAUGUAAAAUAAGUUGAUUGUGCAGGUGUAAAUAAAUAGCCCACUGGCCUAACGUCAGGUAUCCAGGGGAACUCGGAGGCAACAGCAUGUCACACCCAUGUUCAUGGUCAAUAUUUCUUAGAUUUGUGUCGGGACUAUAGGUUGUGGAAUGAUUCAAUAGUAUGAAUAAAUUAAUAAAAUAAAAUAAAAAUGAGAAAAUAUGUCAAUCAUUAUUUGAAUAUGUCGGUAACCCGUUGUAAAAAAGUGAUAAUGCCCUAAAGGCCGGUGUUUGGAGGAUAUAUUGGCACGGUUUUCUAGCCCGAGACCAUCUCGAACCUAACAACACACAUGCCAAUAUAUCCUCCAAACACCGGCUCAUUAUCACUCAAACAAACCAUACAAACUAUACAUUCCAUCAUCAUCUCUGCAUGUUAAAACACAUAGACAAAACAAAGACCACAGUAUGUUUGGCUGAGAGGAUCCGAGGAGAACUCUCCUCCUUAUGACCUCACAAUGGGAACAUUCUCUCUGGGAAUAUUCUCUUGGCCUUCCAGGACAAACGAGUUCUCUUCUCUCUGAGAAACACUGACUACCACUGCAUGAAGUCAACAUUCCUAACCUCCCAUCAGUCCCCUGGCUCUGCUGUGGCUGUGGCUGUUCAGACGUAGAAAUAGAGCAGGAAAAGUCCCUCGGACCAUGACAAUCUAACAGUACAUUCAUGGAUACACCCAAUAUGGCUGACAUGGUAUUUGUGAUGCAUAUUAUUGCCUAACUUCUCUUGCCAAUGCUGUGGCUGCGGCUGUUCAACCCAUGAAAGCCCAUCAGACCAUGACAAUCUGACAGUACAUUCAAUAUGGCUGUCAUGGUCUUUGUGAUGCAUAGAAUUGCUAUGGUAAUUAUAUUUGUAUAGUUCAGUUUACACAGAGAUGCAUCUUAUGGGACUAGUAUUACCAUAGAAUGUCGGUUUUGUAAUAAUUACCCCAGCAUGUCUGUUUUUUCAGUGCACGAUUCGGACGGGAUUAGUUUUACCAAACUACCCCUGUGUGUGUCUGUGGCAACCACUUCCUCAUCUGACGGUACAUCUGUUUGAGGAAAACAGACCAUGUGGAGUUGAUAAAACUAGUUCUGAAGAGACAUUAAUCUUUCUGUCUGUUGUUGAAUUUCCUUGUCGCAUUGACUCUUGGAUCUUGUUUUCUGUCCUUAUCUCUCACACACACACACACCAACAUAUUUAUAUGCACUCCAUUUACAGACAAUUCUGUCACAUCACACGUGUUUGUUUCUCAGUGCUGUACAGAUAUAGGAAAACAUGUUGUUUUGAACACCUUUCUCAUUCAGAUAAAAGAUGCUGCUUGAUUCAUGUGUGAGCACUUCCUGCUUUGUGACAGUGUUGUGAUAUGAACAUCCUCUGGUGAGGGAGGGAGGCCAACGAGGAGUUAAGCCCUCUCUCCUCUCUUCUCUUCUACUCUCUUCUCAUCUAGUCCUCUAGAGUCAUAUUUUCAGACUCUGUCUCACGUCACGAUUUUGGCAUGUUGCGUAGAUAAGCUGCCAUAUGUGAGAAAGACAGUCGUAGAUAAGCGGCCAGAUGUGAGUGAGAGAAAAAAAAGAAGGAGGAAGAAAGAGAAGAGUGGAGAGGGGGGGGGGGGUGAGGGGAGGACGUAUACUUGAGUAUCGUUUUUUAGAAUGAGCGCUGUUCAUUAGCAGUAAACACGAGAAAGAGAGAAACUCAAACCGGGGGAGGGGAAAGGAACAAUGGAUCAGCAAUCUACAGAGCUAGCUGUCAGCCUCCACAGCCACACACAUGCAAAUUAUAUUUUGCCUAAUCCUUAACCUAACCUUAAAUCUAAAAUAGCAUCUUUCCUUUUGGGGACAGGCGAAAUGUCCUCACAUUUUCUUUGUUUUACUAUCCUUGUGAGGACUUUUGCUACCCAAAAGGAUAGUAAAGUUAGACCACACACACACACACACACACACACACACACACACACACACACACACACACACACACACACAUUGCUGAGAGAUUAGUGUUUUUCUAGGUCGGUUCAGUUUCGGUUUGAUUAUUAAAAAAUAAUCACGGAAAUGCAUUAUAAAAUAACAUAUGGAAGUGUUUUAAAAUGGUCGUACCAUGUAUCAUUUAGAUAUUUGGACUUUUAGGCCUCUUUUUUGUAUAUAAAACAUAUAUAUAUAUAUAUAUAUAUAUCAAAU